AUUGAACGCUGGCGGCAUGCUUUACACAUGCAAGUCGAACGGUAACAGGCCGCAAGGUGCUGACGAGUGGCGAACGGGUGAGUAAUGCAUCGGAACGUGCCCAGUCGUGGGGGAUAACGCAGCGAAAGCUGCGCUAAUACCGCAUACGAUCUAUGGAUGAAAGCGGGGGACCGUAAGGCCUCGCGCGAUUGGAGCGGCCGGUGUCAGAUUAGGUAGUUGGUGAGGUAAAGGCUCACCAAGCCGACGAUCUGUAGCUGGUCUGAGAGGACGACCAGCCACACUGGGACUGAGACACGGCCCAGACUCCUACGGGAGGCAGCAGUGGGGAAUUUUGGACAAUGGGGGCGACCCUGAUCCAGCAAUGCCGCGUGCAGGAAGAAGGCCUUCGGGUUGUAAACUGCUUUUGUACGGAACGAAACGGUCCUGGUUAAUACCUGGGGCUAAUGACGGUACCGUAAGAAUAAGCACCGGCUAACUACGUGCCAGCCGCCGCAGUAACAC
rnacentral:rRNA from 1 species